CCCAGAUUGGGAUGGCUCAGUGGGUAGAGUGUGGGACUCGUAAUUCAGGGUCGUGAGUUCGAGCCCUACGUUGGGU